rnacentral:misc_RNA from 2 species
GAACUUCACCUCUGCGUUUGCAGUGUGUGCUUUGGGAUCGCCUUUGGCCUUCCUUAAAUGCCUAAGUGGUAAUACGUUUUAAGUAAACCGUGAAGCCACUCUAAUCACAAACCUGUA